rnacentral:lncRNA from 1 species
CGGCGCUCUGUUACUGCUGCUCCAUUUGGCGGUCAGGCAAAGGCGUCAUGAAGUCGGACGGCAAGCCGCGCUUCUCCGUGGAUGGCAAGGUGAGGAGGGGUCGGGAGGAGGAGGAGGAGGGAGCGGGCUCAUAUUGAUGGAACCAUUCAACGGACACAAAGCCUUCCCUGCCCUGCCCCGUGUCUUCCUUCCUUCCUGGUCUCGACCCCUCGUUCAGCCCAUCUUCCACUUCAUGGGCACCUCCACAUUCAGCGAGUACACGGUGGUUCACGAGCAGAGUGUGGCCAAGAUCGACCCCUCAGCGCCCCUGGACAAGGUCUGCCUGCUUGGCUGCGGAGUGUCGACCGGCUGGGGGGCGGUGGUUAACACGGCCAAGGUGAAGCCCGGCAGCAGUGUGGCGGUAUUCGGGCUGGGUGCAGUGGGCCUGGCGGUCAUUGAGGCGGCGCGGCGGGCGGGCGCAGCGAGGAUCAUCGGUGUGGAUAUCAACCCGUCCAAAUUCUCGGCGGCCCAGGAGUUCGGGGCUACCGAGUGUAUCAACCCCAAGAACCACGAUAAACCCAUUCAGCAGGUAAUGGAGGGCGGCAGAAGGAAAAGGUGGAAGGGUUGCUGGCAUCUAUCGUUCGUCUUAGUUUCACCAAUGAGUCAAAGGGUAUUUUCAUAUGCAUGGCGCCCACGCGAUUAUAAGGGCUAAAAUGUAAUAGUAUUGAUGCUGAGUGUUGGGUACCAAUCCUAAUGCAUGGCGCCCUGCUCUUUUACAGUCCCAGUCCUUGGUUUGCUUCAACGGAUUACCAAUUGAGGACGCGGGCGGCCUGUCACUUCGCAGGUGAUUGUGGAGAUGACGGAGUGGGGCUGCGAUUACACGUAAGUGGACACACAAGUGGAAAAGGCUUUGGAAGUAGUGUAGGCAAGGAUGUAAGGAAGGAAAGGGAAUGGGAGGAACCGGAAGGGAAGCACAGGAAAGCGGUUCCUGUGUGGGUUUCUGUUAAUCCAACACCCCCCCUUCCCCUGUCUUGCCUACUCCCACCAGCUUCGAGUGCAUUGGCAACGUGUCCGUGAUGCGCGCUGCACUGGAGUGCGCCCAUCGUGGCUGGGGCACGUCGGUGAUUAUCGGAGUUGCGGCUGCGGGCCAGGAGAUCAGCACACGCCCCUUCCAGUUGGUUACAGGCCGCCGCUGGAUGGGGACGGCGUUCGGGGGCUACAAGAGCCGGGUCCAGGUGCCCGACCUGGUCACUGAGUACAUGGAGGGCAAGACCCUGCUCGACAAGUACAUCACCCACAACCUCAAGUUUGACCAGAUUAAUGAGGCCUUUGAGCUGCUGCACGCAGGGGAGUGCCUGCGAUGCGUGCUUACGUUCUGAAGAUAUACGCAUGGUUUCUGGAAACGAGCAUCUCAGAUGAUCAACAAUCGAGACAUUAUAGCCCUUUUCCAAAAUGGUUGUGCCGAAGUUUCUGUUGUAUUGCGGCACUGGAAAUGGGGUUGAAAUUUAAAAGGAUUACUUGGAAUUACCACUUUUUUCCCUUUGCCUUUUAAUGUUUUUGCACGUGUUUUUACUAAGAUCGUUCGUAUAGCAGGAUGCUAUCUUGCACAUCUGCAUAUAUUUAGACAUUUUUGAGCAAAGAGGCUCAUGAAUAUUUGUAUUGUACAAGGAGGCAGUUAAAGUUUGUUGCGAGGCCGAUGGUUAUCGGUACGGACUUGUAACCGCCUUAGCAGCGUUGCCUGACGUUAAUGAAUGCCAUCGGUGGUUACGCCAUGUAAGUUUGGUAUCAAGCUUCAACAAUUUCAGGAUGACCUCUUUUGGAUGUCCAGUGGCAAAGCAAAGACUGCAACAUGGACAUCACCGGGCGUUCUUCCCUCUUAAAAUUGUUUCUGGAUAUUCAAGUUUCACAGUGCAAAAGCGGUCCGCUGUGUUACGGAAGUGCUGCGUUGCGACAUCGGCUAGCACGGCCCUUUCGGAAAAUGCAGGCAAGCCAAUUGAAUGCAAAGCCGCGAUAGCUUGGGAGCCCAGAAAGGCCCUAGACCUUCGGACCGUUACCGUGGCACCACCUGGCCCUGGGGAGGUGCGCAUAAAAAUUGUCGCGACGGCGCUAUGCCACACGGUAAGUUACCGUCGUGCUGUUGCUCGAUACAACGCAAGAUGAGGAGAACUAGAACAGAUACACGACAAAAGAUAAGAAAGCAAAGCGUUUCUGUUAUAUUAAUUUAUAGGAUGGACGUGGCGCUCCCGUACGGAACGUUGGAGCUGAGGGGCCCAUUCUGCGGCAGCGCUCCUCCAAACCAAGCAGCCCGCUGCACCUGCACUCUGAGCGAAACUUCCGCACCUUGGGGCUCAAAGGGGAAACAUGAUGAAUCCCUAGUUGACUUCCUAUCUCUCGCCGGGAGCCCUUAGCACUAUAGCGACUAACCACUUGCCGCCUCCAUGCGACUUGCCUCCACGCAUAGUCUCCUGCACGUGUCACGCACGAACAUACGAUAGGUUCUUAUGCCGUUAAGUCAUUCAUGCAUCUGCCUGGCAACCUGCCUGUUCCUCUCCAUUGGCCCAGGACGCUUACACGUUAGGCGGAUUAGAUCCAGAGGGUGAGUUCCAAAGCAGCAUGGAUGGCUGAGCAACAAACCAAGUAUGGCACGGCAUAGCUCGUCGCCGUGCUGUUCGCUUCGGGACUGUCAGCACGAACCCAGCUCUAGGUUCCCAUCGCCCUCGUUAGUCCCAGGUGCCCUUUCCCAUGGCCUUUCAAGCCCUCCAUUCCCGACCUGACAGCCUCUCUGCCUUGCAGGCCUCUUCCCAUGCAUCCUGGGGCACGAGGCGGCGGGCAUUGUGGAGAGCGUGGGAGAGGGCGUGACGUCUGUAAAUCCAGGUAAUGCUCUUGUCAUUGCCUGCCACUCUCCCGCUCACACAUCCGCACAUGCCACAAACCUGCCGGUCCAGAUGCGUUGCCAGUACAUCCCCCCCGCGCAUGUGCCGCACUGCUUUAACUUUGCUCCGCUCUGCAGAGCCCAAAGGUCCCCUUUGUACGGCUCGUGCCUCCUGCCCUGCGCCUCCCAGCUGGACAGUUGGCCGGCCGUGUUCCGUCUUGCUGCCGAAUUCCCCCGUUCUCGUGGUCCACCGUCUUGUGUUUGUCCUCCUGUCGCCUCCAUUGUCCUCCCCAUGCCCCUUCCCCACCAGGCGACCACGUCAUACCCUGUUACCAAGCCUAUUGCGGCGAGUGCAAGUUCUGCAAGCACCCGGAGUCCAACCUAUGUGUCUCGGUGCGCGCUUUUACAGGUGGGGGAGUCGGGGCCGGGUUGAAAGGGGAGGGGCUCCCUCAGGCGAGUGUUGGUCAUUGACCCGUAGCCGGUUCGCGGGCAUUACAUGAUAUAUGACUGCUGCGCUCCUGCCGUUCAUGACCCGACCCGUGCCUCUCUAUAACCCACCCGGCGCUCUGUUACUGCUGCUCCAUUUGGCGGUCAGGCAAAGGCGUCAUGAAGUCGGACGGCAAGCCGCGCUUCUCCGUGGAUGGCAAGGUGAGGAGGGGUCGGGAGGAGGAGGAGGAGGGAGCGGGCUCAUAUUGAUGGAACCAUUCAACGGACACAAAGCCUUCCCUGCCCUGCCCCGUGUUCAGCCCAUCUUCCACUUCAUGGGCACCUCCACAUUCAGCGAGUACACGGUGGUUCACGAGCAGAGUGUGGCCAAG